rnacentral:rRNA from 1 species
CCUACGGGAGGCAGCAGUGAGGAAUAUUGGUCAAUGGACGAGAGUCUGAACCAGCCAAGUAGCGUGAAGGAUGACUGCCCUAUGGGUUGUAAACUUCUUUUAUAUGGGAAUAAAAUGAUCCACGUGUGGGAUUUUGUAUGUACUAUAUGAAUAAGGAUCGGCUAACUCCGUGCCAGCAGCCGCGGUAAUACGGAGGAUCCGAGCGUUAUCCGGAUUUAUUGGGUUUAAAGGGAGCGUAGGUGGGUUGUUAAGUCAGUUGUGAAAGUUUGCGGCUCAACCGUAAAAUUGCAGUUGAAACUGGCAGUCUUGAGUACAGUAGAGGUAGGCGGAAUUCGUGGUGUAGCGGUGAAAUGCUUAGAUAUCACGAAGAACUCCGAUUGCGAAGGCAGUUCACUGGACUGCCACUGACAUUGAGGCUCGAAAGUGUGGGUAUCAAACAGGAUUAGAUACCCGAGUAGUC